rnacentral:lncRNA from 1 species
UUUUCUUUUUUGGGAUCAGGGAAGAGCUAGCUUCAAGCUCUUGGCAAGGUUACUAGUUCGGUUUCAUGGGAGGUUUUUGGAAGAUCAAAGGGGAUUGGAGAGGAGCUUCAUGCUUCGGGGUCGGGGAAGAAAAGACAGAGAAUUGGAUUUUUCUUCUUCAUAGAGUUUUGGGAAGAUUGAGGCAAUCGUUGCUGAAGUCACUGUUGUAAUG